rnacentral:rRNA from 1 species
GACGAACGCCGGCGGCGUGCUUAACACAUGCAAGUCGAACGGAAAGGCCCUGCUUUUGUGGGGUGCUCGAGUGGCGAACGGGUGAGUAACACGUGAGUAACCUGCCCUUGACUUUGGGAUAACUUCAGGAAACUGGGGCUAAUACCGGAUAGGAGCUCCUGCUGCAUGGUGGGGGUUGGAAAGUUUCGGCGGUUGGGGAUGGACUCGCGGCUUAUCAGCUUGUUGGUGGGGUAGUGGCUUACCAAGGCUUUGACGGGUAGCCGGCCUGAGAGGGUGACCGGCCACAUUGGGACUGAGAUACGGCCCAGACUCCUACGGGAGGCAGCAGUGGGGAAUAUUGCACAAUGGGCGGAAGCCUGAUGCAGCAACGCCGCGUGCGGGAUGACGGCCUUCGGGUUGUAAACCGCUUUCGCCUGUGACGAAGCGUGAGUGACGGUAAUGGGUAAAGAAGCACCGGCUAACUACGUGCCAGCAGCCGCGGUUAUACGUAGGGUGCGAGCGUUGUCCGGAUUUAUUGGGCGUAAAGGGCUCGUAGGUGGUUGAUCGCGUCGGAAGUGUAAUCUUGGGGCUUAACCCUGAGCGUGCUUUCGAUACGGGUUGACUUGAGGAAGGUAGGGGAGAAUGGAAUUCCUGGUGGAGCGGUGGAAUGCGCAGAUAUCAGGAGGAACACCAGUGGCGAAGGCGGUUCUCUGGGCCUUUCCUGACGCUGAGGAGCGAAAGCGUGGGGAGCGAACAGGCUUAGAUACCCUGGUAGUCCACGCUGUAAACGGUGGGUACUAGGUGUGGGGUCCAUUCCACGGGUUCCGUGCCGUAGCUAACGCUUUAAGUACCCCGCCUGGGGAGUACGGCCGCAAGGCUAAAACUCAAAGGAAUUGACGGGGCCCCGCACAAGCGGCGGAGCAUGCGGAUUAAUUCGAUGCAACGCGUAGAACCUUACCUGGGUUUGACAUGGAUCGGGAGCGCUCAGAGAUGGGUGUGCCUCUUUUGGGGUCGGUUCACAGGUGGUGCAUGGCUGUCGUCAGCUCGUGUCGUGAGAUGUUGGGUUAAGUCCCGCAACGAGCGCAACCCUUGUUCACUGUUGCCAGCACGUUAUGGUGGGGACUCAGUGGAGACCGCCGGGGUCAACUCGGAGGAAGGUGGGGAUGACGUCAAGUCAUCAUGCCCCUUAUGUCCAGGGCUUCACGCAUGCUACAAUGGCUGGUACAGAGAGUGGCGAGCCUGUGAGGGUGAGCGAAUCUCGGAAAGCCGGUCUCAGUUCGGAUUGGGGUCUGCAACUCGACCUCAUGAAGUCGGAGUCGCUAGUAAUCGCAGAUCAGCAACGCUGCGGUGAAUACGUUCCCGGG